rnacentral:rRNA from 1 species
AUUGAACGCUGGCGGCAGGCUUAACACAUGCAAGUCGAGCGGAGAUGAGGUGCUUGCACCUUAUCUUAGCGGCGGACGGGUGAGUAAUGCUUAGGAAUCUGCCUAUUAGUGGGGGACAACAUUCCGAAAGGAAUGCUAAUACCGCAUACGUCCUACGGGAGAAAGCAGGGGAUCUUCGGACCUUGCGCUAAUAGAUGAGCCUAAGUCGGAUUAGCUAGUUGGUGGGGUAAAGGCCUACCAAGGCGACGAUCUGUAGCGGGUCUGAGAGGAUGAUCCGCCACACUGGGACUGAGCCCCGGCCCAGACUCCUACGGGAGGCAGCAGUGGGGAAUAUUGGACAAUGGGGGGAACCCUGAUCCAGCCAUGCCGCGUGUGUGAAGAAGGCCUUAUGGUUGUAAAGCACUUUAAGCGAGGAGGAGGCUACUGAGACUAAUACUCUUGGAUAGUGGACGUUACUCGCAGAAUAAGCACCGGCUAACUCUGUGCCAGCAGCCGCGGUAAAAC